rnacentral:lncRNA from 1 species
ACUUUUAUUAUAGUCCUUCCCCUGAUUGCUUAAAACAUGAUCACAAUAUUAGUAAGUAAUAACAGUGAUAGUAGAACUCAAUACUUCUUUUGAUGUAUGAAGGUGAAACACAUAGAUAAAGGAAUCAAUCCUUCAUCUGCAAGUCAAAUAUAUUUCAGUGGUGUUUAUCUCCUAAAAGGAUUUAAAAUUGGUGUUGUGGCUGGUUUGAUAGCAUUGACGGUAAGCCAAUUCCACCCCAGUUUGCAAGAAAAUUUUGAUAAUCAGUUUUGUCUCUUAAAUCUUGUCUAUCCCAUUUUUGUUUGAUGUGGGGGUUUUGAUGUAUGUCAGGAAGCCGUGGCAAUUGGCAGAACAUUUGCUUCCAUGAAGGACUAUCAACUGGAUGGAAACAAAGAAAUGGUGGCCCUAGGAGCAAUGAAUAUUGUUGGUUCAAUGACUUCUUGCUAUGUGGCAACAGGUGAGAAGAAAACACAAACAAGCUCAUAGAAAUCUAUCUGAUUUUGAAUGAUGAUACAUGUGAAGUAAUGGCAAGAGAUGACGAUAGCUGAUCCACAAAAGAAUUCAGGACAAAGAAAGUUCUAAUAAAUAAAUUAAAAUUUUCCACCAGCCACUUUAUCACAAUUGUUUGAAGUGUAGAUCAGAAUAAGCCUACAACAAAGAAACGGCUAGCAACUGGAUAGUUAUAAUCUUCUGAUUGAGUCAAAUGUAGCAGGGACAUUUUCAAUGGUUGGCAUUUGGACAGUACUAGAAAGUGAUCUAAGAAUGGUUAGUACUUUAAACAAAUCAUACCUACUCUUUUCUUUGCAGGUUCCUUCUCUCGUUCAGCAGUAAACUACAUGGCCGGAUGCAAGACUGCAGUCUCUAACAUUGUGAUGUCCUGUGUUGUAUUCCUAACCCUGGAAUUCAUCACACCUCUUUUCAAAUACACCCCAAAUGCCAUUCUUGCUUCCAUCAUUAUAUCUGCUGUGAUUGGCCUAAUUGACUACGAUGCAGCAAUUCUGAUAUGGAAGAUUGAUAAAUUUGAUUUUGUUGCUUGCAUGGGAGCCUUCUUUGGUGUGGUUUUUAAAUCUGUUGAGAUUGGUCUCUUAAUUGCGGUAAAGGGUCAAGAUAUCUGCCACCUUGAAGUCUUAUUGUUCUAGUACAUGUUACCGACCUAAUUGUCUUGAUUCUGUUUUCACCUAUUGUUAUGGCAGGUUGCCAUAUCCUUUGCCAAGAUCCUCCUACAAGUUACAAGGCCAAGGACUGCAAUUCUUGGGAAGCUCCCUAGGACAACUGUUUACAGGAACAUCCAACAAUAUCCAGAGGCAACUAAAAUUCCAGGCUUGUUAAUUGUGAGGAUUGAUUCUGCAAUCUACUUUUCCAAUUCUAACUACGUCAAGGAAAGGUAUGGAUCCCUUUUACCCUGCCUGUUAUUAUUUUCAGAACUUUUCAAUCUCUUGAUGAACUUCUGAAAUUGAAAGAAAGUGACCAACAUUAUCUAGACAAUUUAUGAGAAUCACUGGUAGAAAUUGGAACUUUGAUGAGGACUUUGAUUUCAAGUUUUGGUUUUAGCAAAACUAGAAUUAUUUAGUGAGGAUAUGUAAAGUUUGUGACUCAAUUAGUGUUGGUCCCACUUGUAAAUUGUAAUUGACCAACGAAGCACCAAGAGAGUUAAGAAUAGAAAAUUAUAGAUGAGACUAAAGUGGUACUUUCUAAAAAGAUUAUAUACAAGUUAAGAAUCCAAGAAGGUGAAUAGAAUAUUCCAUAAGUUAACAUAAUUACAAGAUAAUAAGAAUCAGUUUAUCGUUUAAUUUUAGUGAAAUUAUAUGUUUAUUCUAUGCCCAAUAUUUCUGUCUUGAUUAUGCAACAUAAUAGGAGGCUUAGGGCUUGUUUAACAACUAUUUUUUUAUAACAAUUUUCUGUUAUCCAGAACAAAAAAUUAAGAAAACACAUUUGUUAACAAAAAGUUGUUUUCUAUUUUCUAUUUUUUAUUCUUAAAAACAGAAAUUAACGUUUUUUCAAAUAACAUCUUUUAAGCGUUUUCAGUUGGAUUCACUUGUUUUUUGAGGUUUGUUUUAAAAAAUAAUUAUGCAAACAUGUAGAAUGAAUAAAAAUAAAAUAUUAAACAUAAAACUAUUUUUAAAACAUAUUUAAAAUAUUAAAAAUAGGUUAAAAAUAUUUCAUAUUUUCAAAAAGACUUUUGUUCUAUAAAACAUUAGAGAACAAUUUUAAAAAAUUAUCCUUAAAAAACUAUUUUUCAGAACUAUUUUUGAAAAUAGUUACCACACAAUCCCUUAGUACUUAAAAAUCGGUGGAAUGGUGUAUGGUGUACCAGCCCUUGUCCAAGUAUCUAAUUUAUCCCUUAUCCAACUAUCUAAUACGCCCCUGCUCCACAACCUAAAUUGAGCCCUUCCACUAGCUUUUCUUAUGCUCAAAAGUAUCAAAUUCCUUGCAGGAUACUGAGAUGGUUGACUGAUGAGGAAGAACACUUGAAAAAAGCCAACCUACCAAGAGUUCAAUUUUUGAUUGUUGAGAUGUCCCGUAAGCAAAUUUUUGCCAAUUUCCUAAACCCCAGUUUUCUAUUGACAAGCAUGUUGUGUUUUUCCAUGCUUAUUCCCAUUCACAUGUAUGCUCUCAUGUUUGUUGCAGCUGUAACUGACAUAGACACCAGUGGCAUCCAUGCAUUGGAAGAGUUACACAGGAGUCUCCUAAAGAGAGAUGUCAAAGUAAAUACAUCCACACUAAUUGCCCUCUAUGUUUCAAAAAAUCCACUUUGUAAAAAACUUAACACGGCAGAAUCACAUUACGUACUCUUUGGAAACAAUUCAUGUCUAUUAUAUAUUGUAUGAGCUUAGAGAUUACCUGAUUGAAAGCCCCCAUGUUUUUGUGCAGCUGGUUCUGGCAAAUCCUGGGCAAGUGGUUAUCGACAAGCUUCAUGCAUCCAAGUUCGCAGAUGAUAUCGGCGAGGACAAGAUCUUUCUCACGGUUGGAGAUGCUGUCGUAACCUGCUCUCCCAAGUUGGCAGAGGAAGUUUAAGCCUUUAAGGUGUUCCAAAAGCAGAAACAAAAAAGAAAAGAAUAGAAAAAUAAUGCAAUGUGGGUGAGAGAGAGAGAGAAAUGAGAUUGGCAUCUGUAAAUAGUGUUGAAGUGAAGAAAGAGGGAGCUCAGGGUCUGAUCCAUGGUGGGUGGGGUCACCAUACAGGUGGUUGAGUGCGUGGAUGGUCCCCCUCUUUUUUCCUCGUCUUUCUUUCCAUCAUUUUCCCUUUAAGCAUAAAAAAUGAAGAAGAAAGAAACUGUUAUUUCUCAAUUUUGGAUCAAAUUUCAGUUGCAUCCCCCACGCCCAAAAGCAUCAAAUGUUGCAGAGGUCAUCAAGCCCCAAAAGCUGUCAUCCAAAAAUGUCUACAUUGUAGUAGGACCCAUGAUCAAUAAUUACAAAUUUUGAUCCUCACCGCCUACUCCAUUGCCACCAAAUGCUUUUAAGCUUGCGUGAGUUUCAAAAUUUUGUAGGAAAAAAAAAAAUUCCAACACUCAUUCAAUGUCAUAAAAAUUUCAAUGAUUAAAUGAUGAACCAAUGAGGGAUACUAGAAGAAGGCAUAAAAGAGAAAGAGGCACUAUAUAUGAUUACAUCAUGCAUGCAUAUCUCAUUUAUGAGAUGAUCACAGAUUGAUCGUCAAGAAUUACUUUUCAACAAAAAGCUAAUACAUCUUUGCUACUUGAUUAUGUUCAGAUCAUCAAGCUUAUUAAAACAUACGGACUUAAUUUUCACAUACAUGUGAGCUAAUUGCAAGGGAAAAUGAGAGACGAAUGAACCAAAGCAAAAUUUACCUUGCAUCUGGAUAUGCCUUAAAGUGAAAAGUAGCACCGCAACAAGAUGAUCCAUGAACCUAGCUGCAAAUGCCGCCAGAUGCAUUCAUGUUUGUCUUAAGUUUCUCGAUAAAAUAAGCCCGCCAAAGAUCAGCCAAGAGGACUGCUGCAGUGAUGAACUACGCAUUCACUUAACUUUGCUAAUAAAAAUAAAAAUAAAAAUUUUAUGUGACUCUUAUAUGACAUGAAGAGGAUUAUUAUGUUAAUAAGUUUGAAAAGGUGACAUCUUGCCUAGAACAAUCCAUUCUUAAACUUGAAAAAGAUUGAAGGUGACUCAAAAUAGUAGUAAGUAAUAACAGUGAUAAAAUGAAUGAUGUGGGGGUUUUGAUGUAUGUCAGGAAGCCGUGGCAAUUGGCAGAACAUUUGCUUCCAUGAAGGACUAUCAACUGGAUGGAAACAAAGAAAUGGUGGCCCUAGGAGCAAUGAAUAUUGUUGGUUCAAUGACUUCUUGCUAUGUGGCAACAAGUGAUGUAAGAAUGGUUAGUGUUGUAUAACAAAUCAGACCUACUCUUUUCUUUGCAGGUUCCUUCUCUCGUUCAGCCGUAAACUACAUGGCCCGAUGCCAAACUACAGUCUCUAACAUUGUGAUGUCCUGUGUUGUUUUUCUAACCUUGGAAUUCAUCACACCUCUUUUCAAAUACACCCCAAAUGCCAUUCUUGCUUCCAUCAUUAUAUCUGCUGUGAUUGGCCUAAUUGACUAUGAGGCAGCAAUUCUGAUAUGGAAGAUUGAUAAAUUUGAUUUUGUUGCUUGCAUGGGAGCUUUCUUUGGCGUGGUU